rnacentral:rRNA from 1 species
ACCGCCCGUCACACCAUGGGAGUCGGGAAUGCCCGAAGUCGGUGGCCCAACCGGAAGGGGGAGCUGCCGAAGGCAGGCCCGGUGACUGGGGUGAAGUCGUAACAAGGUAGC